AAGUGACAGGUGGUGCAUGGUUGUCGUCAGCUCGUGUCGUGAGAUGUUGGGUUAAGGCCCGCAACGAGCGCAACCCUUAAGCUUAGUUGCCAUCAUUAUGUUGGGCACUCUAAGUUGACUGCCGGUGACAAACCGGAGGAAGGUGGGGAUGACGUCAAAUCAUCAUGACCCUUAUGAUUUGGGCUACACACGUGCUACAAUGGACCAUACAAAGGGCAGCGAAACCGCGAGGUCAAGCAA
rnacentral:rRNA from 1 species